AAAAAUGUAGUUUAAAACAAAAUAUUGCUUUGAUAGGGCAGGGAUGCAUAAGGUGUCAUUUUUA
rnacentral:tRNA from 1 species